rnacentral:rRNA from 1 species
CCUACGGGAGGCAGCAGUGAGGAAUAUUGGUCAAUGGACGAGAGUCUGAACCAGCCAAGUAGCGUGAAGGAUGACUGCCCUAUGGGUUGUAAACUUCUUUUAUAAAGGAAUAAAACGAGGCACGUGUGCCUUUUUGCAUGUACUUUAUGAAUAAGGAUCGGCUAACUCCGUGCCAGCAGCCGCGGUAAUACGGAGGAUCCGAGCGUUAUCCGGAUUUAUUGGGUUUAAAGGGAGCGUAGAUGGGUUGUUAAGUCAGUUGUGAAAGUUUGCGGCUCAACCGUAAAAUUGCAAUUGAUACUGGAAGUCUUGAGUACAGUUGAGGUAAGCGGAAUGCGUGGUGUAGCGGUGAAAUGCUUAGAUAUCACGAAGAACCCCGAUUGCGAAGGCAGCUUACUAAACUGUGACUGACAUUGAUGCUCGAAAGUGUGGGUAUCAAACAGGAUUAGAUACCCGUGUAGUC